GAGGAAGUGCCGGCCCACUGAAGCGGUGGGGACGCGCCCAGCGGAGCGAAUCAGAUUAGCUGGCUGGUGUUUGGUUGUUCUGGAGUGAUCUUCUGACUGGAAAAGAACUAUGUCAUGGAUCAAGGAAGGAGAACUGUCACUUUGGGAGCGGUUCUGUGCCAACAUCAUAAAGGUGAGCAAUGGCCCAGAGCACCGGCUGGCCUUCUGGUCAGUUGGAUAAUCUUAUAUCAAAACCUGUUAUUAAAGUUGAGCAGUUCAUGAUGUUAAGUGGAAUUUAGCAAGGAAA
rnacentral:sRNA from 1 species